GACGAACGCUGGCGGCGUGCUUAACACAUGCAAGUCGAACGCUGAAGGCCCAGCUUGCUGGGUUGGAUGAGUGGCGAACGGGUGAGUAACACGUGAGUAACCUGCCCCCUUCUUUGGGAUAACGGUCGGAAACGGCUGCUAAUACCGGGUAUUCACUGUCCUUCGCAUGGGGGGUGGUGGAAAGGUUUUUUCUGGUGGGGGAUGGGCUCGCGGCCUAUCAGCUUGUUGGUGGGGUGAUGGCUUACCAAGGCUUUGACGGGUAACCGGCCUGAGAGGGUGACCGGUCACAUUGGGACUGAGAUACGGCCCAGACUCCUACGGGAGGCAGCAGUGGGGAAUAUUGCACAAUGGGCGAAAGCCUGAUGCAGCGACGCCGCGUGAGGGAUGACGGCCUUCGGGUUGUAAACCUCUUUCGCUCAUGGUCAAGCCGCAACAGUGGUUGUGGUGAGGGUAGUGGGUAAAGAAGCACCGGCUAACUACGUGCCUGCAGCCGCGGAUAUACGAGAGGGUGCGAGCAUUGCCCGAAUUAUUGGGCGUGAAGGGGUUGUAGGGCGGUUUGUCUCCUCUUCCAUGAAUCCACUCGGGCAAACUGGGGGCGUGAGGUGUGUUCCUGCUUUUUUUUAAUGAUGUACGGGGUAUAGGGAAAUGAUA
rnacentral:rRNA from 1 species